rnacentral:rRNA from 1 species
GGAUCCAGACUUUGAUUCUGGCUCACGAUGAACGCUGGCGGCGCAUUUAAGACAUGCAAGUCGAACGAAAAUUUACGCUUAAAGAGUUGAUUAGUUUACUAAGAGAUGAUUUAUUGUAAAUUUUAGUGGCGGACUGAUGAGUAAUACAUAGGUAAUCUGCCUUUUAGAGGGGAAUAACUAGGAGAAAUCCUAGCUAAUACCGCGUAAGACCACACUUAGGCAUCUAAGAGAGGUCAAAGGAGUAAUCCGCUAAAAGAUGAGCCUGUGGCUGAUUAGUUAGUUGGUGGGGUAAGAGCCUACCAAGACGAUGAUCAGUAGCCGAGCUGAGAGGCUGGCCGGCCACAUUGGGACUGAGAUACGGCCCAGACUCCUACGGGAGGCAGCAGUUGGGAAUAUUGGACAAUGGAGGAAACUCUGAUCCAGUGACGCCGCGUGAAGGAAGAAGGUCUUCGGAUUGUAAACUUAUUUUAUCAGGGAAGAAGAAAGUGACAGUACCUGAAGAAAAAGGACCGGCAAACUACGUGCCAGCAGCCGCGGUAAUACGUAGGGUCCAAGCGUUAUCCGGAUUUACUGGGUGUAAAGGGCGAGUAGACGGCGCUGUAAGUCAGCUGUGAAAACUUAGGGCUCAACCUUAAGCCUGCAGCUGAAACUGUAGUGCUAGAGUGCAGGAGAGGUAAGCGGAAUUCCUAGUGUAGCGGUGAAAUGCGUAGAUAUUAGGAGGAACACCAGUGGCGAAGGCGGCUUACUGGACUGUAACUGACGUUGAGGCGCGAAAGUGUGGGGAGCAAACAGGAUUAGAUACCCUGGUAGUCCACACCGUAAACGAUGGAUACUAGGUGUAGGCGAGAUAUCGUCUGUGCCGGCGCAAACGCAAUAAGUAUCCCACCUGGGGAGUACGGCCGCAAGGUUGCAACUCAAAGGAAUUGACGG